rfam:Clostridium botulinum B str. Eklund 17B, complete genome.
UCUGGUGAUGACGGCGUAGAGGUAACACUCCUCUCCAUUCCGAACAGGAAAGUUAAGGUCUACAGCGCUGAUGGUACUGCACGGGAGACUGUGUGGGAGAAUAAGACGUUGCCAGGU